ensembl:lncRNA
GGUGUCCUUUUCUUGACAGUUGUCUGCACGGUAGCUGUGAGUCCUGAAGUACAGCAAAAAUUGCCUCCACAUCGGGAAAUAAAAGGCUCUUCCUGAAUCCAAUCUUGCAGUGACCUUUCUUGGAAAAGCACCGGUUUUAUUUAACAAUGAAACAAAACCAAAUCCCAGACAUUGGGCUGAAUGACAACAACAUAGAGGUGGCUCGUCCUUAUGCCGAUGGGCAAAUAUCAGGGCCUCUUGCAGCUUGCCAGUUCCUCCUGUGGUCUCCACCGUUCUGGAGACAAACAGGAUUAUCUGCCCUCAGCUAUCUGUGGUGCCUCAUCCCCUGAGCAUCAUGCCAGCUUAAAGAUUAGAUUUACUGCUUUGUAGGUUCUAGUUACUUGAAAAGGAGGAAGAAGGGUGUACAGUGGUUGAAUAUGUGUCGGAGAAAUGGGCAGUAACAAUCAUGAAACGUUUUCUAUAAGAAAGCAAGUAGCAACCCACCACAUAGUUAUACUCUGCGGACAGCACCAAAUGGAGACGUCUGCCUUAGAGGUGGGCUUCAUUUCACCUGCUGCUGCAGCAAAUUCCCAGAGAAGUGUGCUCCUUCUACGCAUUCAUGAGCCAACCAUUGUCCAGACAAGUGCCACCAGCAUGAAGCAGAUGACAUUGCAGUGGAGACUGAUGGUGACAAGAGGAGAGAUACUGUAGGCUGCAAAGAGGGGCUGAAGAGUCUGAGAUCCUCAAGCUUUCAACACAGAAUUGCAUGUUCAUGAGACUGAAAGACAUAUCUCCCUACUCUCUAAAACAAUGUAGCCGUCUAUUUUAACUACAGCUGCAUUUAUUUCUCAUGACUGUAAAUAGUUAGUUUUGCUCUGGCCUUUCUGUUCCUGUUUCUGUCCAGUACCUCACUUUCAAUUUUUGGACAAUUUAGCAUUAUUCCGUUCUACUAGGGGGAGAGGGAAGAUUGAAGAUGUAUUUAUUACAACAAAACUGUAGUUUAUUUUUCUUUGGAAAAUGUAGUUCUUACUGAGGAUAAGAUAUGUGUGGUACCCUAACUGAGAAUGCAAAAAUUAAUUUCAGAGAGGCAGUGGAUCAAACAGAAGAUUGCCUGGUAAGAAAUUUGCUAAAUUGUGGUGUAUUAGCUUUACUGGAUCCCUUAGCCAGGAUCUGAUUAAUUAAAAAUAGAAAUGAUCCAAGAAGCCAGAUCAUUCUGCAUUGGUUUCAGGAAGCAGGGUAUACUCUUGUUUAAAAAGUGUUCACAGAAUACUGAUCUCCCAUAAUGACACAGACACUAAAGUGAGAUAAAUAAGAGGAGAAGACAGAGACAGCUGAAGCAGUAAAAGAAACAAACAAAUGUGGGCUGAUCUUGCUUUAAUUACUGAGGAAAAAGGUUCAGUGAAGCACCUCACACUGAAAGGUCACUUCUGUGCCUGUGAAAGGGAAGAUUCUUCUGUGACAACCCUCCUCUUUUAGACAGGAGAGAAAAGAAAGCAUCCCCUAUCCCCAGGGUCCUCCCUGAUGCCUCUGACAAUGGCAUCUUAACAUGAGGCAAACACAAAAUCUGCUGGGAGAGAUGGAUUGAGAGGGAAAACCAUGAGACGUAAAUAGGGACAAACCAGAAUUGUAGAAGAAGUCAAGUCCAUUUGAAAGUACAAAGUGACUUUGACUAAUCUGUAGCUGAAAUUUAUACCUAUAACACAUUUAAAAUUAUAAAUAAAUAAAUAAAUGAAAAUAUAAAGCA